rnacentral:other from 2 species
AUUUCUCUGAGAUGUUCGCAAGCGGGCCAGUCCCCUGAGCCGAUAUUUCAUACCACAAGAAUGUGGCGCUCCGCGGUUGGUGAGCAUGCUCGGUCUGUCCGAGAAGCCUUAAAACUGCGACGACACAUUCACCUUGAACCAAGGGUUCAAGGGUUACAGCCUGCGGCGGCAUCUCGGAGAUUCC